GAGAACAAGCUAUUGAAACUGGAUUUUAAAACCCUCCAAUGUUUUGGUAUGGGUUAUUAAUGAAUCUCAAGAGUACUCUCCUUUGUAAGAAAAAAAAAGUGCUUGAGAUAAAAUCAUUCCAGUGGGAAAUGGACCUAAGAAUGCAUUUCAGCCUUCGUUCUGUGUGUUCCUAUCUAAGCUGAUCAUGUGAAAGCCCUUUUAGUAUUCUCUCAGUACACUGGAAAAAUAAUCCUUUCUGUUCAGCAUCACAAUGGGAGAGCUGUUGUAUGCUCUGCAUUUGACAAAACUCAGUUCAUAUUUUGAUGUUUGUUUGAAACUUCAAAUCCUUUUGAAAACAUUACUUUGAUUUGAACAUUGGUUAUCGGAUGAUAACCUUAACAUUUUUAUAUUAAUCCCAUAGUAUGUGUGGAGAAUGUCUCCCUUUAAAAGGAUUCUCUUAAGUAAAAAUACCAUGGUUAUGCCUCAGAGUAAAUCCCGUAAAGAUACUUUGUUGUGUUGUGUUGUUUUUACUGUUCAGAGAAAUUGAGGCCCUCUGUUGGUGACACAGGCAACUUUGUUGCUAAGCAGCACCACUGUUGCUAGGCAGGAGCAGUGGCUAGGAGGGUGGUUGCUCCUGGAGUCUAAAUAAGCUUUAGAGUGAAAAUGUAGCUAAGGAAGCUUAACACAGUCAAGGUCGGUUCAGAUGACAUACAGAACCAUGGGUCCAUGGUUCUGUGCUCCCCUCCCCCCACUCUCCAGUCUACAUUCAGACCUACUGCAGUCAGGUCUGCAGUACUGCAGCGAGACUGUAGAGAGGUGGGGAGCUGGCUGUGUGGGCUUCCUUCUGUCCUGAAUGACAGCCUGCACAGCCAAUAGGAGCCAGAGCAAGGGAGGAGCUCAACUCCAGUUUGAGGAAAGCCUAACCUCAAUUCCUGGAUCCGGCAUAAUGGAGGCGCUGUGAAGUGCAGUUAUCAGCUGCGUAACUCACUACAAACUGAAGUUCUUCUUUGGGCAAGAUUUGCAUGCUGGUUUGAGAUUCUGGAUGGGCCCACCUGACCUCGUUGCACCAGAUCUUUGUCAUUUCGCCUGUUCACCUAUGGGACUUUCAGACUAUGGACUAUGCAGGAGUACAGCUGGGAUAGUUCCUUUAGAAGAAAGAGACUGGGGUUUGGUUUAGGUUUUAUUUAGUGGCCCUAUGAUGAUAUUGUAUGCAUAUUUUAUGAUUUUCUAUUACUUUAUAAUUGGGUAUUUUAAUUUUACCUCUAUGUAUGCUUGACAAAUUUGGUUCUACAAAGAAGAAAAAAUGUGAAUGUUUAUAAAUUCUUGAGUCUGGCAUAUGAAAUUGUGGGGUCCCCCCCCCUAUUUUCUUUUUCUUUCUUGCAACCACUGUGUGUGUGUGUGUGUGUGUGUGUGUGUGUGUGUGUGUGUGUGUGUGUAGACAGAGGGAGAGAGAGACUUGACCCAAAAACCCCAUUUCCUUAGUAAGAGGGGUUAUAUACAGAAGAAAAAGAGCCCUGACUUACAAUUUGUCCAAAUGAUACCCCUCUAUACAGUCACUUUAAAUGGCACAGUGGGGAAAUGCUUCACUAACAAGCAGAAGUUUGCUGGUUCGAAUCCCCACUGGUAUGCUUCCCAGACUAUGGGAAACACCUAUAUUGGGCAGCAGCGAUAUAGGAAGAAGCUGAAAGGCACCAUCUCAUCCUGUGCAGGAGGAGGCAAUGGUAAACCCAAAAGAAAACCACAGGGCUCUGUGGGUGCCGGGAGUUGAAAUCAACUUGACGGUACACUCUACCUUUUUAUACCCCUGUAUUAACAGUGGGUGUUGGUUCUGCGUUAAAGAGGUGUUGACUGGGAUAAUUUGUUCCUGGCAGCUCUGCUUCUUAUGAAGAAGAGAGCAAACGUCCCUAUCUAAUAGGGAUGUGCAAAUCAAUUUGGGUACAAGACAAUUUGUACCCGAAUCAAGCUGUUUUGUGCAAUUUGUAGACAGAACAAAUCAGCUCUGUGCUCAAUUGCCCAGAUUUGGUUCCAAAACAAAUAGCCCAGAUUCGGACCCCAAAAAUUUGGAGAUUUGGACCUCUGGCAAUCUCUCUUGCUCUCCAUUUUGUUUCCCUGCAAAAAAUUGGAAAAUCCCACCCUCCAAGAUUCAGAUUGGUGAUUUACGAGUGUGAAUUAUUGGCUGGUGCAUCCCCCUUGAUUCCAGAUUGGCUUGUAUCUAUUCAGAUCUUGUGUUGCUGGGGUAACUGUGCCAGCACUGGCUAGGGAGAAGGGACAAAGGUGGGUGGGGGGAGGCAGAUGCAGAGAUUUUCAAAUGGGUGGUGGACUGGUGCCACCAUGGCCCAGCAGCAGCACUCAUCAACCAGAGGCUGUGGUGGAGUGAGGUGGGCAGGCAGGCAGGAGGGGUUUGGGGUUUUUUUUUUUGCUGGGAAGUACUUGCAUGCUGAUAUGAAUUGAUUUCAUUGAUUAAUUGAUGCUAAUAUGAAUGAUGAAUAUGAUAUAUGAUUGAUGAUGAUGAUUUGAUUUCUUUGUUAGAAUUUGUAAUAUGACUUUGCACUUGUUUCUUUAAUGUUUGUAUGUGACUUUGCUUUGCUGGGUUUUUUUCCCAUGGAAAGACUGUGAUUGAAGCAGCAGAUACACACACACGCCUCCCUCCACCCCACCAGCUGUGGCCAAGGAUGAGCUUGCUGCUGGUGCCCUCACAUGUGUCAGCCUGCCUGUCACACAGAGGACAUAGCAUUCUGAGGCCAUGGCAAAACACAACCCAAACCCUAACCUUUCUGCACAGCACACACAGGUAUAUGUUAUUCCCCCCCCCCCAUUACUAGGAGUAUAUGUAUGUACUUAAUUCAAGUGCCUUGGUUUGUUUUGGGGCUGUAGCUAUCUUUUGGUAACUUUAUGGAUGGGCACAGGUUCUCUGUGUGUGACAUCUUUGCGAUGAAGAUUGGGUCAUAUUGGGACUUGUGUUCAAGAAGCAUCAUCAUUUUAUUCAAACUAGAUUGUUUGCGUUACAAUAGAUUUUCUUGUUGCCACAGGCUCUGUUCCACUGCAGAAUUAUUAUUAUUUGUUUGAAAUGUG